rnacentral:rRNA from 1 species
UACAGAGGUCUCAAGCGUUUGUUCGGAAUUACUGGGCGUAAAGGGCUCGUAGGCGGCCAACUAAGUCCGACGUGAAAUCCCCAGGCUUAACCUGGGAACUGCGUCGGAUACUGGAUGGCUUGAAUCCGGGAGAGGGAUGCGGAAUUCCAGGUGUAGCGGUGAAAUGCGUAGAUAUCUGGAGGAACACCGGUGGCGAAGGCGGCAUCCUGGACCGGCAUUGACGCUGAGGAGCGAAAGCCAGGGGAGCAAACGGG